CCUACGGGAGGCAGCAGUGGGGAAUAUUGCACAAUGGGCGCAAGCCUGAUGCAGCCAUGCCGCGUGUGUGAAGAAGGCCUUCGGGUUGUAAAGCACUUUCAGCGGGGAGGAAGGCGUUAAGGUUAAUAACCUUGUCGAUUGACGUUACCCGCAGAAGAAGCACCGGCUAACUCCGUGCCAGCAGCCGCGGUAAUACGGAGGGUGCAAGCGUUAAUCGGAAUUACUGGGCGUAAAGCGCACGCAGGCGGUCUGUCAAGUCGGAUGUGAAAUCCCCGGGCUCAACCUGGGAACUGCAUUCGAAACUGGCAGGCUAGAGUCUUGUAGAGGAGGGUAGAAUUCCAGGCGUAGCGGUGAAAUGCGUAGAGAUCUGGAGGAAUACCGGUGGCGAAGGCGGCACCCUGGACAAAUACUGACGCUCAGGUGCGAAAGCGUGGGGAGCAAACAGGAUUAGAUACCCGAGUAGUC
rnacentral:rRNA from 1 species